CUGCAAACUAUGACUUGCGUCCGGAUGGUGGGGUGACAGUCAGAACAGCGGAGAGGUCUCACGGGGUUUCCAGUUUUCGAGAGUGUGGCGUGGCAGUGGCGAUUGGCUAUUUGUCUUAGGGAGUGCUCAAGCUGUUCCUUGGCUGAAACUUGCUAGGUUAAGUCGAACCGAACAAGAGCUUGCGCCCUAAGUGCGGGUGGAAGGGCGGGAGGGUGAAACUGCAAGGAACUGGUAAACUCAACAGUGAAAAUAGGCUGAGAACGCAAUCAUUACACGUUUACCAGUCCCGAGAAACAACCGUGUUUCGCAGUUGCUGCUUCUACCGCAAAGAACCACGAAAGUUGAAGCCGCCUUUUUGUGCGCCGGCUUAUAUACGGGCACUCAGCCGCUUGCGAGUCCUCAGGCGCUCAAAGUGUACACAAAUCGGCCACCUUGUUGCCUUGCCCUCCUGAACGUGAACGGCUUCAAGCCGGGGUGACAAAGUAUAGGAUAGAAAAGGGGUUACUACUGGUAAGGUCGAACUCGAUAUUCGUACGGUGUCUGUCAAUUUCUUGAUCCGUGCUGGGGGGAGUAUUCUUGAACAUUCCGGUGCGUUUCUCUGCAUGGAAAGUUGCAGAAAUCUUGACCCUGUACAAAACUGGAUUCUCGAAACAGCCCCGUGUCGACGGCUAGUUUCAAGAGGCUGCUCGAGCUCACGUCGCUUCUCGCACCGUCGUGAUCGAAGUAUGAGUUCCUUUUUCUCCGAGCACUGAUCUCAUAGAGUCACAACGGCGUAUUCCCUCCCACUUUCGUGAGCGG
rnacentral:lncRNA from 1 species